GUGGAUUAGAUACCCUGGUAGUCCACGCCGUAAACGAUGAUAACUAGCUGUCCGGGCACUUGGUGCUUGGGUGGCGCAGCUAACGCAUUAAGUUAUCCGCCUGGGGAGUACGGCCGCAAGGUUAAAACUCAAAGAAAUUGACGGGGGCCUGCACAAGCGGUGGAGCAUGUGGUUUAAUUCGAAGCAACGCGCAGAACCUUACCAACGUUUGACAUCCCUAGUAUGGUUAGUGGAGACACUUUCCUUCAGUUCGGCUGGCUAGGUGACAGGUGCUGCACGGCCGUCGACAGCU
rnacentral:rRNA from 1 species